GACGAACGCUGGCGGCGUGCUUAACACAUGCAAGUCGAACGGAAAGGCCCUGUUUUUGUGGGAUGCUCGAGUGGCGAAAGGGUGAGUAUAACGCGAGUAGCCUCCCCUUGUCUUUGGGGUAACUCCAUGAAACUGGGGCGAUUACCCGACAUGAGCUCCUGCUGCAUGGUGGGGGUUGGAAAGUUUCGCAGGUUGGGGAUGGACGUGCGGGUCAUGAGCUUGUUGGUGGGGUAGUGGCGUACCAAGGCAUUGAGGGGUAGCCGGCCUGAGAGGGUGACCGGGCACAAUGGGACUGGGAAAGGGGCAAGAGUGAUACGGGGGGCAGCGGUGAGAAAUAGUGCACGCUGGGCGGAAGCCUGGUACAACGACGCCGCGUGCGGGAUGACUGCUUUCGGGUUGUAAACCGCUUUCGACUGUGAAGAAGCGUGAGUGACGGUAAUGGGUAAGGAAGCACCGGCUAACUACGUG
rnacentral:rRNA from 1 species